rnacentral:rRNA from 1 species
CCGGCGAUUUCCGAAUGGGGAAACCCAGUGUGAUUCGUCACACUAUCAUUAACUGAAUCCAUAGGUUAAUGAGGCGAACCGGGGGAACUGAAACAUCUAAGUACCCCGAGGAAAAGAAAUCAACCGAGAUUCCCCCAGUAGCGGCGAGCGAACGGGGAGCAGCCCAGAGCCUGAAUCAGUGUGUGUGUUAGUGGAAGCGUCUGGAAAGGCGCGCGAUACAGGGUGACAGCCCCGUACACAAAAAUGCACAUACUGUGAGCUCGAUGAGUAGGGCGGGACACGUGGUAUCCUGUCUGAAUAUGGGGGGACCAUCCUCCAAGGCUAAAUACUCCUGACUGACCGAUAGUGAACCAGUACCGUGAGGGAAAGGCGAAAAGAACCCCGGCGAGGGGAGUGAAAAAGAACCUGAAACCGUGUACGUACAAGCAGUGGGAGCACGCUUCGGCGUGUGACUGCGUACCUUUUGUAUAAUGGGUCAGCGACUUAUAUUCUGUAGCAAGGUUAACCGAAUAGGGGAGCCGAAGGGAAACCGAGUCUUAACUGGGCGUUAAGUUGCAGGGUAUAGACCCGAAACCCGGUGAUCUAGCCAUGGGCAGGUUGAAGGUUGGGUAACACUAACUGGAGGACCGAACCGACUAAUGUUGAAAAAUUAGCGGAUGACUUGUGGCUGGGGGUGAAAGGCCAAUCAAACCGGGAGAUAGCUGGUUCUCCCCGAAAGCUAUUUAGGUAGCGCCUCGUGAAUUCAUCUCCGGGGGUAGAGCACUGUUUCGGCAAGGGGGUCAUCCCGACUUACCAACCCGAUGCAAACUGCGAAUACCGGAGAAUGUUAUCACGGGAGACACACGGCGGGUGCUAACGUCCGUCGUGAAGAGGGAAACAACCCAGACCGCCAGCUAAGGUCCCAAAGUCAUGGUUAAGUGGGAAACGAUGUGGGAAGGCCCAGACAGCCAGGAUGUUGGCUUAGAAGCAGCCAUCAUUUAAAGAAAGCGUAAUAGCUCACUGGUCGAGUCGGCCUGCGCGGAAGAUGUAACGGGGCUAAACCAUGCACCGAAGCUGCGGCAGCGACACUAUGUGUUGUUGGGUAGGGGAGCGUUCUGUAAGCCUGCGAAGGUGUGCUGUGAGGCAUGCUGGAGGUAUCAGAAGUGCGAAUGCUGACAUAAGUAACGAUAAAGCGGGUGAAAAGCCCGCUCGCCGGAAGACCAAGGGUUCCUGUCCAACGUUAAUCGGGGCAGGGUGAGUCGACCCCUAAGGCGAGGCCGAAAGGCGUAGUCGAUGGGAAACAGGUUAAUAUUCCUGUACUUGGUGUUACUGCGAAGGGGGGACGGAGAAGGCUAUGUUGGCCGGGCGACGGUUGUCCCGGUUUAAGCGUGUAGGCUGAUUUUCCAGGCAAAUCCGGAAAAUCAAGGCUGAGGCGUGAUGACGAGGCACUACGGUGCUGAAGCAACAAAUGCCCUGCUUCCAGGAAAAGCCUCUAAGCAUCAGGUAACAUCAAAUCGUACCCCAAACCGACACAGGUGGUCAGGUAGAGAAUACCAAGGCGCUUGAGAGAACUCGGGUGAAGGAACUAGGCAAAAUGGUGCCGUAACUUCGGGAGAAGGCACGCUGAUAUGUAGGUGAAGUCCCUCGCGGAUGGAGCUGAAAUCAGUCGAAGAUACCAGCUGGCUGCAACUGUUUAUUAAAAACACAGCACUGUGCAAACACGAAAGUGGACGUAUACGGUGUGACGCCUGCCCGGUGCCGGAAGGUUAAUUGAUGGGGUCAGCGCAAGCGAAGCUCUUGAUCGAAGCCCCGGUAAACGGCGGCCGUAACUAUAACGGUCCUAAGGUAGCGAAAUUCCUUGUCGGGUAAGUUCCGACCUGCACGAAUGGCGUAAUGAUGGCCAGGCUGUCUCCACCCGAGACUCAGUGAAAUUGAACUCGCUGUGAAGAUGCAGUGUACCCGCGGCAAGACGGAAAGACCCCGUGAACCUUUACUAUAGCUUGACACUGAACAUUGAGCCUUGAUGUGUAGGAUAGGUGGGAGGCUUUGAAGUGUGGACGCCAGUCUGCAUGGAGCCGGCCUUGAAAUACCACCCUUUAAUGUUUGAUGUUCUAACGUAGACCCGUGAUCCGGGUUGCGGACAGUGUCUGGUGGGUAGUUUGACUGGGGCGGUCUCCUCCUAAAGAGUAACGGAGGAGCACGAAGGUUGGCUAAUCCUGGUCGGACAUCAGGAGGUUAGUGCAAUGGCAUAAGCCAGCUUGACUGCGAGCGUGACGGCGCGAGCAGGUGCGAAAGCAGGUCAUAGUGAUCCGGUGGUUCUGAAUGGAAGGGCCAUCGCUCAACGGAUAAAAGGUACUCCGGGGAUAACAGGCUGAUACCGCCCAAGAGUUCAUAUCGACGGCGGUGUUUGGCACCUCGAUGUCGGCUCAUCACAUCCUGGGGCUGAAGUAGGUCCCAAGGGUAUGGCUGUUCGCCAUUUAAAGUGGUACGCGAGCUGGGUUUAGAACGUCGUGAGACAGUUCGGUCCCUAUCUGCCGUGGGCGCUGGAGAACUGAGGGGGGCUGCUCCUAGUACGAGAGGACCGGAGUGGACGCAUCACUGGUGUUCGGGUUGUCAUGCCAAUGGCACUGCCCGGUAGCUAAAUGCGGAAGAGAUAAGUGCUGAAAGCAUCUAAGCACGAAACUUGCCCCGAGAUGAGUUCUCCCUGACCCUUUAAGGGUCCUGAAGGAACGUUGAAGACGACGACGUUGAUAGGCCGGGUGUGUAAGCGCAGCGAUGCGUUGAGCUAACCGGUACUAAUGAACCGUGAGG